rnacentral:rRNA from 1 species
UGCGUAGGCGGGUUUCUAAGUCAGAGGUGAAAGCCUGGAGCUCAACUCCAGAACUGCCUUUGAUACUGGAAGUCUUGAGUAUGGCAGAGGUGAGUGGAACUGCGAGUGUAGAGGUGAAAUGCAUAGAUAUCACGCAGAACUCCGAUUGCGAAGGCAGCAUGCCAGCCGCCGACUGACGCUGAGGCACGAAAGUGCGGGUAUCGAACA